CAGGGAGGGUCCUGGCCGACCUGAGGGUCACUGAUCAUUUCAGCCGGGCUGGCAGGGAGCCAGGCCCUGGGCUGGGGUCAGAAGGAUUGGGUUUGAGUUCUAGAUCUGUUUCUUUACUAGCCGGUGAAUCCUGCUUCAGUUACUUGCUGGUUGUGUGGUCUUGGGCAAGUCACUCACAUAUUUUUUCUUUUCUUUUAAAGGUUUUAUUUAUUUAUUCAUGAAGGACACCCCAGAGAGGCAGAGACACAGGCAGAGGGAGAAGCAGGCCCCCUGCGGGGACCCCGACGUGGGACUCGAUUCCAGGACCCGGAUCUCGCCCUGAGCAGAAGGCAGAUGCUCAACUACUGAGCCACCAGACGUCCCUCUGAACAUAUUUUUCUCAUCACUAAAUGUCGAUAAUAAGAAUACCAAUAUCAUGUGGUUUAGGGAGCAUUAAAGGAGGGAAUAAUGUCUAUUAUUUCAUCCAAUCCUCACCUGUUCCACUUCAUUUGUUUGUGGUCCCUUGGAGAUACCAUCCAGACUUGGAUGUGCAAGAAUUUAUGCAGAACGCACUCAUCCUGGGCUUCAACCAUGCUUUGGCAUAGGAUGUCUCAAUUUCCUAGGAAGACAGCUUGUUUCCUUGGUUAGAACCUGGGACACAUCCUGAGCCAAAUAACUUUGGAUGGGGUGGCGUGCCAUCUGAGAGGAGCAUGGAGAAAGGAAGAUGAGAAAGGCAGAGUAUUUCAUUGGAAGAAGCUCAGUCCACAGCAAGAGCAUCGGAAGAAUGAUGGGGUGGGAGGGAGAAUGGUUUUGGAUCAAUCACAUCCAAAACAAUCCUCUGAAGACAAGUUCCUGUGUUAAUCCAAUACCAUUAUUUCUUCCUCUGGUGGGAGUGGGGGUGGGGAUGGGAAUGAGGAAUUGGAACAAAUAAUAGUGGUUAAUACUCACUGAGAUAUUAACAUGUGCCAUGUAUGUGUUAUGUGCUUUGCAUAAAUUGUGUCAUUGAAUCUUUGCAGCUUCCUUAUGAGAAAGCUACUAUUAUAAGCAUCUUUAUUUUAAAGAUGAGGAAACGGCGGCACAGAGAUUAUAUCA